rnacentral:rRNA from 1 species
GCAAACUGCGAAUACCGGAGAAUGUUAUCACGGGAGACACACGGCGGGUGCUAACGUCCGUCGUGAAGAGGGAAACAACCCAGACCGCCAGCUAAGGUCCCAAAGUCAUGGUUAAGUGGGAAACGAUGUGGGAAGGCCCAGACAGCCAGGAUGUUGGCUUAGAAGCAGCCAUCAUUUAAAGAAAGCGUAAUAGCUCACUGGUCGAGUCGGCCUGCGCGGAAGAUGUAACGGGGCUAAACCAUGCACCGAAGCUGCGGCAGCGACGCUUAUGCGUUGUUGGGUAGGGGAGCGUUCUGUAAGCCUGCGAAGGUGGCCUGUGAGGGUUGCUGGAGGUAUCA